CCCAUAGGAGGAGAAAAUAAACAAUGAUUCCGUAAGUAGUGGCGAGCGAACACGGAAGAGCCCAAACCCAUGUCGUCUAGGCGACACGGGGGUUGUAGGACCACGACGUGGCAAGAUAGAGUCAAGUGGAACGCCUUGGAAAAGGCGACCGUAGAGGGUGAUAGUCCCGUACACGACUGACGAUUGAAGCCUAGUGGCAUCCUGAGUAGCGCGGGGCACGAGAAAUCUUGCGUGAAUCUGCCGGGACCAUCCGGUAAGGCUAAAUACUCCCGAGAGACCGAUAGCGAACCAGUACUGUGAAGGAAAGGUGAAAAGCACUUCGAACAGAAGAGUGAAAUAGUUCCUGAAACCAUGUGCCUACAAGCGGUCGGAGCACCUUCUGGUGUGACGGCGUGCCUUUUGCAUAAUGAACCUACGAGUUACCUUCCCCGGCAAGGUUAAGUACCUAAGGUACGGAGCCGAAGCGAAAGCGAGUCUGAACAGGGCGUAUAGUCGGAAGGGGUAGACGCGAAACCAAGUGAUCUACCCUUGGGCAGGUUGAAGGAUGGGUAACACCAUCUGGAGGACCGAACCAAUAAGCGUUGAAAAGCUUCUGGAUGAGCUGAGGGUGGGGGUGAAAGGCUAAUCAAACUCGGAGAUAGCUCGUACUCCCCGAAAUGCAUUUAGGUGCAGCCUUGACUUAUACUGGCAUGAGGUAGAGCGACUGAUAAGAUGCGAGGGCUUCACCGCCUAUCAAGUCUUGAUAAACUCCGAAUGCGUGUCAGUUCUAUGUCAGGAGUGAGGGCAUGGGUGCUAAGGUCCAUGUCCUAAAGGAGAACAAUCCGGACCAACAGCUAAGGUCCCGAAAUGAAUACUAAGUUGAACUAACGAGGUCAGAUUGCUAAGACAGCUAGGAUGUUGGCUUGGAAGCAGCCAUUCAUUUAAAGAGUGCGUAACAGCUCACUAGUCGAGCGAUCUGGCGUGGAUAAUAAUCGGGCAUAAACGAUCUGCCGAAGCCGUGGAUGUCGCAAGACAUGGUAGGGGAGCAUUCCAUGCGGCGUCGAAGAUGAGGGAUGACCCUUGUUGGAGCGCAUGGAAAAGCAAAUGUAGGUAUGAGUAACGAUAAGGGGGGCGAGAAACCCCCCCGCCGAAAGACCAAGGUUUCCUGAUCAACGCUAAUCGGAUCAGGGUGAGUCGGGACCUAAGGCUAAGCCGAACGGCGCCGCCGAUGGAAGAAUGGGUUAAUAUUCCCAUACUGCCUCAUGGAGUGACGUGGAGACGGAGAAGUGACAGUCCUGCCGGCUGACGGAAUAGCCGGUUGAAGGGUGUAGAUAUUGAUUCCCGUAGGCAAAUCCGCGGGGAGAGUCGAACCUGACAGUAUACGGAGCGCUUGCGCAACGUAAUAUGGACGUAACCAUGCUCCCAAGAAAAUCCGCUAAACUUAUCCAUGCGGCACCCGUACCGUAAACGGACACACGUGGUCGGGUUGAGAAUACUGAGGCGCUCGAGUGACUCACGGUUAAGGAACUAGGCAAAUUGACCCUGUAACUUCGGGAUAAAGGG
rnacentral:rRNA from 1 species